rnacentral:rRNA from 1 species
GUAGGUGAACCUGCGGAAGGACAUUA